GUUGUAUGGUUAAGUGACUAAGCGUACACGGUGGAUGCUUGGCAGUCAGAGGCGAUGAAGGACGUAUUAACUUGCGAUAAGCCCAGAUUAGGCAGUAAAAGCCACUUGAGUCUGGGAUUUCCGAAUGGGGAAACCCACUAGCAUAAGCUAGUAUCAUUAACUGAAUACAUAGGUUAAUGAAGCGAACCGGGGGGAACUGAAACAUCUAAGUACCCCGAGGAAGAGAAAUCAACCGAGAUUCCGGUAGUAGCGGCGAGCGAAACCGGAUUAGCCCUUAAGCUAGUUCUGCGUUAGGUGAAGGUUCUGGAAAGUACCGCGAUACAGGGUGAUAGCCCCGUAACCAAAAAUGCAGUCUUAGUGAAAUCGAGUAGGACGGGACACGUGAUAUCCUGUUUGAACAUGGGGGGACCAUCCUCCAAGGCUAAAUACUCCUGACUGACCGAUAGUGAACCAGUACCGUGAGGGAAAGGCGAAAAGAACCCCUGUGAGGGGAGUGAAAUAGAACCUGAAACCGUGUACGUACAAGCA
rnacentral:rRNA from 1 species